GUGAGCCGGGUAGAUAGCUUCCGGUCAUCCAGACCGGAGGAAGCUCCACUCAUUCAGCCCAAGCGGGCAGUGCACCGUCGCGAGGCGGAGGCCGAGAGGUCUGCACCAGGAGCAGAAAACUCCUGCAUUCCGGGAGCAGUGAUGUGAAAAUAACCGGGGUAACCCGGGAAAUACAUUGAGCGCAGAACGGAAUGCAAGGUGAAACGUGCCUGGUGAUGCACGAAUGCAAGCCCUUGGCGCUCAGACAAAUGCUAUCAGUUCCAUGAACCUUUGCUGGUUCGGAACUGACAAAAAGUGGGCUAUUCCCGGCACAC
rnacentral:RNase_P_RNA from 1 species